UACGUAGGGGGCGAGCGUUGUCCGGAUUUACUGGGCGUAAAGCGCGUGUAGGCGGUAAUCUAAGUCCGGGGUGAAAUCCGGGGGCUUAACCCCCGAACGGCGCCGGAAACUGGAGCGCUUGAGUGUCGGAGAGGGGAGUGGAAUUCUCGGUGUAGCGGUGAAAUGCGUAGAGAUCGAGAGGAACACCCGUGGCGAAGGCGGCUCCCUGGCCGAACACUGACGCUGAGACGCGAAAGCGUGGGGAGCGAACGGG
rnacentral:rRNA from 1 species